UCGCGAAACAGCUGUUGUUUGUUUUGAAAUUGUUUUGUUUUUCGGAGGUGUUACGUUAGAUUUUCAGAUAUUUAUGUAAAUUUCGGGGCAGUACGGACGUAGUUAGUUAUAUAGAAGCUAGCGGAUCGUCUGUAAAGCAACAUCAAUAAAUAAUAUGGGAACUCGCAAAAAGGGACUCGAAUUCGCUAAACACAUCACCGAGAUUAUCACCAAGUCAACGGGCUUUGAAAGUCACCUACAGAAGGUCAAGAUCGUGGACGGUGGCGAUGGAGCCUGCACUGCCGAGCUGAAGGUGGACCAGGAUCAUGUGAACUUGUACAAGUUUAUGCACGGCGGCUAUAUCAUGACCCUGGUGGACAUGAUAACCACCUACGCCCUAAUGUCCAAGCCAUGUCAUCCCGGAGUUUCGGUAGAUCUUAGUGUAAACUUUCUGAACGGCGCCAAACUGGGCGACGAUGUGGUGAUUGAGGCCAAUCUGUCCAAGGUGGGCAAGUACCUCGCCUUCAUCGAUUGCACCCUGAAGCACAAGAAGGACGACUCGGUGAUAGCCAAGGGCACACAUCUGAAGUAUAUAAAAUUUGACUAGACUAGACUCCCAAAGGGGAGCUUCUUUGUUUUGACAAAUAUUUUCGGAGCGCCCCAACAGUACAUUGUUAGUUAAUUGUCAAUUAAACAUGCUCAUUGCGCAA